UACGUAGGGUGCAAGCGUUGUCCGGAAUUAUUGGGCGUAAAGAGCUCGUAGGCGGUCUGUCGCGUCGGUCGUGAAAACUUGGGGCUUAACCCUGAGCUUGCGGUCGAUACGGGCAGACUAGAGUGCUGUAGGGGAGACUGGAAUUCCUGGUGUAGCGGUGAAAUGCGCAGAUAUCAGGAGGAACACCGGUGGCGAAGGCGGGUCUCUGGGCAGUAACUGACGCUGAGGAGCGAAAGCGUGGGGAGCGAACAGG
rnacentral:rRNA from 1 species